CCACGCCUCCCAGGGCUCCGCCGCGCCAGCUAGAGGCCACAAGCCCCCUUCUCUGUUGAGAAGAGUAGAAGGGUGGAAGGCGGAGGCGAUGGCUGCGGGAAGGGGGCGGGGGAUAUGGAGGUUCGUUCUCAAGCGGGCGGCAUGAAGGAAGUAUCUCUGCUCCACAGCCGUCACUGCCAUGGUCUCGAGAUCUGUUUGUCCAGCACGAGCAGCCAUAUCCGGGUGGUCUGAUUCGAGUCAAUGGUCUAGAGCUUGAUUCAUUAAUCCAAUUCAUUGCAUCAGAAUAGGAUGCGGCCAAUCGCGGACCGCUCGCCUGCAUCGGCCAGGGCGCUCGCAUGCGUCGAGCAGCCAGCCUUCGGCUAUGAAGUUGCUCUGCUCCUCGCGAUGUGCUUGAUUUGGCCGCCGCUACCCCACUUCGUCCGGAUACGGCACCACAGCGCCGGCGCCACGACUGGGAAUGGAAGGGCGUCGGCCGAUCUAGGGUGGUGUGGCCCUGUGCUGUCCCAGGUGAAGGAAUCGCUGGCUGCAUCGUGACCUCCAGCCUGAUGAGUGAUGAUUCUGCCAUUAAAAACAACCUGGUUACAUUGGUCUGACGGGCUAAUCCAUUUUCCAAAGCGUAUGCUCAUUGGUUUUGUAUACCUGAUCAAUUUGCUACCUGAUCAGUGAUGUGUAUGACCUAUAAAAGCUUAUAAAAAACCAGCUGCAUAUGCCAGAUGAGCGGACUGGUACCAACAUGGAAAUGUGGAGUAUAAAACUCACGAUGCUUUAUAAGUGCUUCA